rnacentral:lncRNA from 1 species
AUGCAAAUGCAAAAUAGUUUUCAGUAUCCCUUCAAAGCAGCUAAAGUAGCCGUUAUUUCCUUCCCAAGGUGUGCAACUUUCUAUCUUCCGUGCAUCCUCCGACUGUCAAGAAAUAUGAAGGGUGAAAAAAAAAAUCUUCAUUCAUUCCACUUAAAGCAAUACAUUGUUAUGGAACGUGUGGAUAAAGGAAUUUAUGCAGACCCACAGGACCUGGACAAUCAUAUAGAAUUUGGGGAGCAACACCUUUCGGACUGCCUAUCCACUUCCAUUUUAUGAAGAAGAAUGCCUGCACAUAGAGAAUUGUCGAGCGUGAACUUUUUGGCUUGCUUGGGUCCCAGUGAGUAAAGAGGAUUACCAGCGCUGCAUAUAGAAUACACACUAUCGUUAAUGUAUGUGAGUAACAAAACCUUUUAUAUAUAUAUAUAUAUAUAUAUAUUUUAUUGAAACAUAAAAAGAGGGCAACAAAAAUAAAAAAAACUAGUUAGAUAUUUCA